rnacentral:rRNA from 1 species
UACAGAGGUCUCGAGCGUUGUUCGGAUUCAUUGGGCGUAAAGGGCGCGUAGGCGGCGGGGUAAGUCUGGUGUGAAAUCUCGGAGCUCAACUCCGAAAUUGCACUGGAUACUGCUCUGCUAGAGGGCUGGAGAGGAGAUCGGAAUUCACGGUGUAGCAGUGAAAUGCGUAGAUAUCGUGAGGAAGACCAGUGGCGAAGGCGGGUCUCUGGGCCGAUACUGACGCUGAGGAGCGAAAGCGUGGGGAGCGAACAGG